GGCAAUAGGCAUUUUGUGGUAUAACUCCUUCAUUAAAAAUAUUGUGAAAAGAGCAAUUGUGAAAAGAGCGAUUAAAUUUUGCACAUUGAUCAGAAUAAGGAUAUUCUGCAGAGCUUUUUCAUUACAUUGUUGCCAGAAUGAGUUUUAAUGUCACCCUUCAUUUUCAUAUGAAACAUUGUAUACAUAGGAAAUACAAAAUUUACAUCAGGUCUAGCUACUUAGAUAAUAAUGUUUUAAGUUUAUACAAGUAUGUUUAUAUUUUCUUUAACUUUUAAAAGUUGAAAAUAUUGCCUGAAAUUUCCCAGAGCAAAGCUUUGGUAUUGGACAUCCCUAAAGUUUAAGAAUAACAUGAACUGUAUGCAAAUUUAAUCUAGUCCAAAGCUUCUGUUCACAACUCUUCCUACUUUACCACUUGGUCUUGGAACUCGUAUAUGUUCCACAGAAUUUAUUCGAUAUGUGUUCCUUAGGCAAAGCUUAUGAACUCUCUUUCUAAAGCUUUACUAAUUUGUAUUUGAACACUGAAUGAAACAUUAGUUUCUUUGAAGACAAUGGCAAAACUGUCAUUUGCCUCACUUGGGUGCACAUUUCACUAUAUACGCUUACAGCUGUGGCUUACCCGUAUGUCCAGAUAUCUGUUAUGCCCAUAUAUUCAGCUGGUGAAGACAAACCUUCCCAAAAGAGCGUAUCUUUGCUUACUUACUUGUACUUUAUUUAUACCAUACAGCUAGCACUGAUCCAGAACUUUCAGUUGUGCAAUACCCUGAAGAUGCCAGUGUGCUUCUUAACUCAACAGUGUGGAUGCUGUGUGUAUUUGAGUACCCAGAGGAGGAGAACGAGAUGCCAGUUGUGUACUGGAGGAAGGGCCCUGACUACAAUAAUUUGCAGAGUCUUCAGUCAAGCACUGGAGCUGCUAGGCCGCAUGUACGCAUUAUAAAGAACGUACUCAAGGGAUUCUCCAUCUUGAAACUGAGCAAUGUUGAUCACAGUGCCAGUAAUUCAUAUUUCUGUGAUGUGACACUAACUCAGAACGUCCAGAGCAAACGUGGAAGUGGCACCAACCUGACCGUACAUGACUUAAAAUGCAAAGACUGUAUAAGAUCAGACAAGACCUGGUGGGGUUGGUUUCUUCUUCUUGGAUACACCAUCUUUGUCACCACAGUUAUCAUAGCUUUCAUUAUUCAUCAGGGCUGUAAAAAGUGCAAGAACAGGUCAAGAAACACAGAUAGCAGCGCCACCUCACCAAGUGACUGGAUUUACGACAAGCCAUCCAGACCAGUAAACAAUGGGUUUAAUCAAGAAUAUGUAGACAUGUCGCUAAUAAGGACUUUCACUGACACUGGAAGGAAGAUGAUAUGA
rnacentral:lncRNA from 1 species